CCCAAGGAACAGGACGCGACACGCUCUUCGUAGCCAUGCUGGACUGCAGAAUACCACGCAUGCACCCUCAGCUGCAUUAGGUGGUGCUCCUAAAAUUUCUACUGUGCGACACAUUCUGGGAAGAAGUACACAAGACUCUUCUCUCUCACGCAUGUACAACCAGUACAAUCCACCUGUAAAGAUGACUUUGAAACAUAGGUCUCUUUGCCGAUGACUGUGUCCUUUAUCGCUGCAUCUCCUCUCCCGACGACCAUCUUAUCCUUCAAGAUGACCUCACCCUCAUCGAUCAGUGGUGCAGAGCUCACUGGCACUCUGCUCGAUCUCUGUGUACGGUGGCUGUUCACGAGUCCCCGAACAGAAGGAAGAGACUACACAAGGGGGCUCACCACAAGAAUUACAGUGAAUGAGUCACUACAACGCUGACAACUCUGAAACUCUGCAAGGCAUUAAAUGCAAGUGGACAACAGAAGGGCUUCGGUGAACAUGUACAAGCAGUCUCAUACCUAGGAUUUUUAGUUUUUGGCAUUCCAUUCGCCAUUACUCGGUGGCUUCUGUAGAAGCGUAGGGGAUGGGAAAACAAACACAAGAUUUCCGCGCACACAGUAAGUGGUACUCCAGGUUCCUUAGCCAUUUUUACUACAUGAAGUGUCAGGGAAAAAUUUAAUGUGUUGGGACGCUUCCAUAGAUGUGGUUUGUUACAUCAUGGGUGCAUCAUGCAUUGCGCUCCAUAAUGCUGAUCAAUCUUUUUUUUUUAUGUGUCAUACUUCGCGAGAUAAAAGCUCUCUAACAGAUGCCUGACUAAAUCGCGGAUGUCAGAGACAUCAGAGAUACAGCCAAUUCCACUGAUAGCCCUAAGGUCUGUGACAUCAGAGCUGCUUGAGUUUUGCUGUUCAAGGUGCUCAU